AACGAACGCUGGCGGCAUGCCUUACACAUGCAAGUCGAACGGCAGCACGGGUGCUUGCACCUGGUGGCGAGUGGCGAACGGGUGAGUAAUAUAUCGGAACGUACCUUAUUGUGGGGGAUAACGCAGCGAAAGCUGUGCUAAUACCGCAUAAUCCCUAAGGGGGAAAGCGGGGGACCGUAAGGCCUCGCGCAAUUAGAGCGGCCGAUACCUGAUGAGCUAGUUGGUGGGGUAAAGCCUCACCAAGGCAACGAUCAGUAGCUGGUCUGAGAGGACGAUCAGCCACACUGGGACUGAGACACGGCCCAGACUCCUACGGGAGGCAGCAGUGGGGAAUUUUGGACAAUGGGGGCAACCCUGAUCCAGCAAUGCCGCGUGAGUGAAGAAGGCCUUCGGGUUGUAAAGCUCUUUUGUCAGGGAAGAAACAGCAGCCCUAACACAGUUUGCGAAUGACGGUACCUGAAGAAUAAGCACCGGCUAACUACGUGCCAGCAGCCGCCGUAACAC
rnacentral:rRNA from 1 species